UAAUGACUAGCUCUUUUCAAUGUUAAAG
rnacentral:piRNA from 1 species